rnacentral:lncRNA from 12 species
GACCAUGAAAACACUAAAUCUUUAAAUGUUUCUCCAAAAUUUUUCCAGACGUGGAUUGAUUCCAGAUUUAUUCUGCCCUGACUCUUGCAAGUAACCUCUGGAGACGUCUGUCUACCCAUCAGAACCUGAGAUCUAAAUAUAUACAAGUUAAAAUAUUUUUGGGUGCUACUAUGGUCAGAUUGGAAUUUUCCAUUGAGAGUGUCCUAAAACCCUCUAAAGAAGAAUUUUCUGUUGCUCCUGUUACCCUGGCUCAAGAGAGCUUAAAUGAAGUGCAGAGUCAGAAGCAGCCAUGCAAGAAGGACCAGUGUGUCUGGAGUUCAGAAACCUUCUUGUAAGAUGUUCCUCUCUUUCUAUUUCUGUUUUCCCUCUCCCUGGGAAGAUUGUUUACUGUGGCUGAGAAGGAUGUUGUAAGCAGACAUGUGAUUUAAUGAAAAGGUUUCAACAUAUCUUCCCUUUGGUAAGAUUAGUUGCACUUGUAAUAUUGGCAGAAAAGUCACCCUGAACUAACCAUGCUAAUGGUACAAAGGCCCAGAGAAGGGGAGGGAAACUCAUUAUUUCAGGUGAGUAUCUGAAAAGAGAACCUCCAGUUUAAUUCAUGCUUAGAAUCAAUCUCAACACAAUUUUAGUAAGUGUUUCAAGGUAGAAACUGGUCCUUAACUCCAAUUACAACCUUAAUCCCUGGGACAUUGAUAACUCAAAGCCAUCUUUUUCUAUUUGUUUGCCUUCACUUGUUUUGGUAAGUGUCAUUUUCAGAAAUUAACAAUCAUCACAUCUAAUGUAAAAUAUGAAAGAAAGAGAAUGAAAAUUGGAAUGCAUAUGAAUAUGUUACUUUGUAGUUAGAACUUCUGUGAGUUACUAAUUAUUUAAUUCAAGUUCUUGAUUUCUAAAGCCUUUUUUUGGGCAGCCUGGGUGGCUCAGUGGUUUAGUGCUGCCUUCGGCCCAGGGCGUGAUCCUAGAGUCCCAGGAUCGAGUCCCAUGUCAGACUUCCUGCAUAGAGCCUGCUUCUCCCUCUGACUGUGUCUGCCUCUCUCU